rnacentral:rRNA from 1 species
CCCUUAGAUGUUCUGGGCUGCACGCGUGCUACACUGAUGCAUUCAGCAAGUAUACUUCCUUUGCCGAGAGGCCUGGGCAAUCUUGUAAACAUGCAUCGUGAUAGGGAUAGAUUUUUGCAAUUAUUAAUCUUUAACGAGGAAUUCCUAGUAAACGCAGAUCAUCAAUCUGCAUUGAUUACGUCCCUGCCCUUUGUACACACUGCCCGUCGCACCUACCGAUUGAAUGGUCCGGUGAAGCCUCGGGAUUAUGAACAAUGCCUUUGUUGGCAUUGUUUGUGAGAACUUGUCUAAACCUUAUCAUUUAGAGGAAGGUGAANUCGUAACA